rnacentral:misc_RNA from 1 species
UCACCCAUCAAGCUCUGCUUGUCAUUGGAUUUUGCUACUGAAAUAUGUCGCAAGUCUGAAAAUUAAUGACGUGUCAUGUUUGACCCUUAGAUGCAACGAGCUUUUUUAAGCACGCAUUGAUGUGGUCGACGGACCCCGUCUUUAAUCAUUGUUUCUCA